rnacentral:rRNA from 1 species
AUACGGAGGUUGCAAGCGUUAAUCGGAAUUACUGGGCGUAAAGCGUACGUAGGCGGUUCGUUAAGUUAGAUGUGAAAGCCCCGGGCUUAACCUGGGAACUGCAUUUAAAACUGGCGAACUAGAGUUGAGUAGAGGGGAGUGGAAUUUCAGGUGUAGCGGUGAAAUGCGUAGAGAUCUGAAGGAACACCAGUGGCGAAGGCGGCUCCCUGGACUCAAACUGACGCUGAGGUACGAAAGCGUGGGUAGCAAACGGGAUUAGAAACCAUAGUAGUCC